AACUGAGGCAGGCUCCUUGCGGGAAGGAGGGGGUGCUCGGCCCUGGCUGCAAGGCGCAGGGACUGGGACUGCGGUCGGGAGUGGGGGUGGUGGUGAGGAAAUUUGCAAUGGGCUGCCCCCAAGGCUGAAGGGCAAGGAACCUGGCGGAAGCGGAGGCUCACGGAGGGGGUGUGGCUCCAGCGCGGAGACUUGUGGGAAAUGUAGUCCUGGUUCAUCCAGCCCGGACUCCCGGGUUACGCAGGUCUCCAGGACGCUGCGGUGGCCGGCCGGCCGUGGAGGUCAGCCAGGACCCAGGGUCCGCUGUCUGCAUCUUUGCGGAUGACAUGGGAAAAACAGCCCUAGGGAUCGGCCUGGGCGGGGUUACAGCCCCAACUCUGACUCCGGCUGGCUCCUUGCUCACGUGUUCACUCACUUGUUAAGCACCUACUGUGUGAUUCACCAGGCCUGGGGUCAGACCUGCUCCCUGCCUUCCUGGAAGCCGCGUGUGAAAUAAUCGCAAACCAGGAUUUAAAGCUGCUGAGCUCUCCAGGGGCAGGGGAGUGACCUUGUCUGGGGCGGAACAGCUGUUCCAGAUUGUUCCAAAGCAUGAGUGCCCAACAGUCAUCUGUGGGGUGUGACCUCAACGCCUGGGUCACAAGCAAUUUGGGGUCUGAUUACUGUUUUUAGUGAACUAGAGUAGCCGAGGGCACGCUGACUGCAGAGGGAACAUCAUCCCUUAUCCCAAACCCUGGGGGCCAGAUGUGUUCUGGAAUUUGAGGUCUUUCAGAGUUUUCUAAUAGGCUGAUCAGCCCCCGCAUGGGGAGAGGGCAGCAGGGCUGGCAUCCAACACUUUCACGAUCCCAGGUGUGGGCAGAACUGCCCUAAAAGCCUGCAAAGCAUUCAACAGAAACCCUACUGAGAGCUGUCAGAGAGAGUGGGGGCUCUAUCCAUCUCACCCACCAGGUCCGUCUGACUUGCAAGAUGCACACAUAGGCACUGUUCGUCUUAGACAUCUGGAGCUCCUUAUGCAAUCCUCGGCUCCUUAUCUAUCCUUUGCCUAACAAAUAUUUUACUUUCAUUUUAUUUGAAGUGCAGAGAGACAGAGAUGGAUCUUCCAUUCCCUGGUUCACUCAUCAAAUACUCGCAACAGCCAGGGCUGGGCCAGGCCGAAGCAAGGAGCCCGGAACGCCAUCCAGUUCCGCCACGUGGGUGCAGCAGGAACCCAAGUGCUUGAGCCAUCAUUGCUGCCCAGAGCGCACGUUAGCAGGAAGCUGGAUUCAGAACUGGAACCAGGACGCAAACCCAGGCACUCGGACCAGAGUGCGGGUGUCCCAAGUGGUGUCUCAGCCUCUGCACCAAACACCUGCUGCAGGGUCUUAGUCCACCCGAACGAGGAUGGACUGGGUCCGAAGAAAGUAUUUACUUCAGGGCCAGCAUUAUGGCGAAGCAGGUAUAACCACCGCCUGCAACACCAGCAUCCCAUCUGGACACUGGUUCGAGUCCCGGCUGUUCCACUUCAGAGCCAGCUCCCUACUAAUGGCCUGGGAAAAGCAGUGGAAGAUAGGCCAAGUCCUUGGGCUCCUGCACCCACAGGGGAGACUGUGAUGAAGCUCCUGGCUCCUGGCUUCCGCCUGGCCCAGCCCUGGCCAGUGUGGCCAUCUGGGAAGUGAACCAGUGGAUGGAAGACCUCUCUCUCUGCCUCUCCAACUAUGACUUUAUAAAUAAAUGAUUUUUUUUAAAAAAGGAGAGAUUUAUUUAUUUAUCUGACCGGACCUGAAGGGGCACAGCCGGGACCUGAACUGGCGCUCCGAUAUGGGAUGCUCUUGUCACAGGUGGCCACUCAACUCCAUGCACCACAACGCUGGCCAGAACCUCUGUUCUCUUUGGACGGUCGUUGGUUGCACACCUGUCGCUGUACAUCGGUGGCUCUCAAAUAUGGUUUUGGGCCCCGCCCCGGGAGUCCCUGAGAUCCUUCUGGGGGUGUCCAUGAAGUCAAAAUCACUUUCAUGUCACCGACACUGAGACGUUCUCUGUCUUUUCUGGUUCUCGUGCACGCGAGAUCCAGCUCCCUGCUAACGCACCCGGGAAAGCCCUGAAGACACCCGAGCUCUGGGGUCCAGGCCCCCCACAGGGGAGACGCAGGGGGUGUCCCAGGCCCCCGGCCGUCGGGGAGCGACCCAACAGACGGAAGACCACCCUGCCUCUCCCUCUCUUUUCCAAAUAAAUUAUUCUUUUUUAAAAAAUCAGUAUUUCCGCUUUCCCUGUGACCUACAGGAAAAAAACAAACAGUAAAGACCAAGACCAGGUCUCACGUAAGAGCAAACAGCCUUUCACCCGCAGAAAUUACUGGUCUCCAAAAGGCUAUUACGUCUGUGGGCACCUCCACCGAGAUUCGCCCCACGAGAAAGUCGAAGUGGAAACUUGAAGCCCUUUGUUUACUAACGCCUCUUAAACAUGACUCAAUACUAACGCGUGAAGCCUCCGGAGCUAACACAGAAGCCUAUUUUCAUAAAAUACCCACUAUUUAAAAAAUGCGGCGCGCCGAGCGGCAUUGCGCAAACCCCGCGUGUCCGCCUCAGGGUGUGCGCGCUGCGCUUUCUGGAAACCUCCACGAUGGAGGCUCGAGCACUCGAGGCGCCGCCCCCACGCGGGAGACCCGGAUGGAGGCUCGAGCACUCGAGGCGCCGCCCCUCACGCGGGAGACCCGGAUGGAGGCUCGAGCACUCGAGGUGCCGCCCCCACGCGGGAGACCCGGAUGGAGGCUCGAGCACUCGAGGUGCCGCCCCCCACGCGGGAGACCCGGAUGGAGGCUCGAGCACUCGAGGUGCCGCCCCCACGCGGGAGACCCGGAUGGAAGUUCAAGCACUCGAGGCACCGCCCCCCAACGCGGGAGACCCGGAUGGAGGCUCAAGCACUCGAGGCGCCGCCCCCCCCCCCACGCGGGAGACCCGGAUGGGGCUCCUAGCUCCUGGCUCCGGCCUGGCCCGGUCCGAGCUGGCGUGGCCAUUUGAGGGACUGAAGCAGCUGAUGGAAGAUCUUGUUCUCUCCCUGCCUGCCAAAUAAAGAAAAAUGGGGAACGCAGAAUUUCUUCGCGAUGUAGACCCUACUGAGGGAUGCGCACAUGGCGGCGCGUGCGUGUGCCGGAAAAGGAAGGACGUCUUUUACGACUUUUACGACACCUGCUGCGCUGUGGGUGCACCUUUGCGGCCGCGGGGUGUGUGAGUCCCUGUGGGAGAAACGGAUGCUUCCCCUACAUGGAUUCACCAAAAUGUGUUUAGCCAGCGACCGGUGCUGUGACAUACGGAUUUAAGCUGCCGUCUGCAAUGCCGACUUCCCACGUGGACGCUGGCUUGAGUCCUGGCUGCUCCAUUUCUGAUCCAGCUCCCUGCUAAUGGCCUGGGAAAAGCAAAGAUGGCUUGAGUGCUUGGGCCUGGGCAACUGCCAUCUACGUGGGAGACCUGGAUGAAGCUCCUGGCUUUGGAUUGGCCCAGCUCUGGCUGUCGAGGCCUUUUGGGGAGUGAACCAGCGGAUGGAGGACCUCUCUCCCUCUCUCUGUAACUCUGCCUCUCCAAUAAAUAAAUUAAAAAAUAUUCAAAAGCUAUGUUUAUCCAUGUACCUCGUGGUGCACACUGGGGUUCUGCUCUUCAGCCGUGGUGAACACAGCUGAGGCACACGUUGAUGUAUACAUUUUAAUUAACAAAGUUUUCAUUUCU